rnacentral:RNase_P_RNA from 1 species
GAAGCUGACCAGACAGUCGCCGCUUCGUCGUCGUCCUUUCGGGGAGACGGGCGGAGGGGAGGAAAGUCCGGGCUCCAUAGGGCAGGGUGCCAGGUAACGCCUGGGGGGGAAACCCACGACCAGUGCAACAGAGAGCAAACCGCCGAUGGCCCACGCAAGUGGGAACAGGUAAGGGUGAAAGGGUGCGGUAAGAGCGCACCGCGCGGCUGGUAACAGUCCGUGGCACGGUAAACUCCACCCGGAGCAAGGCCAAAUAGGGGUUCAUAAGGUACGGCCCGUACUGAACCCGGGUAGGCUGCUUGAGCCAGUGAGCGAUUGCUGGCCUAGAUGAAUGACUGUCCACGACAGAACCCGGCUUAUCGGUCAGCUUCACCU